GGGUUGUGAGGUUAAGCGACUAAGCGUACACGGUGGAUGCCCUGGCAGUCAGAGGCGAUGAAGGACGUGCUAAUCUGCGAUAAGCGCCGGUAAGGUGAUAUGAACCGUUAUAACCGGCGAUUUCCGAAUGGGGAAACCCAGUGUGAUUCGUCACACUAUCAUUAACUGAAUCCAUAGGUUAAUGAGGCGAACCGGGGGAACUGAAACAUCUAAGUACCCCGAGGAAAAGAAAUCAACCGAGAUUCCCCCAGUAGCGGCGAGCGAACGGGGAGGAGCCCAGAGCCUGAAUCAGCAUGUGUGUUAGUGGAAGCGUCUGGAAAGGCGCGCGAUACAGGGUGACAGCCCCGUACACAAAAGCGCAUGUGCUGUGAGCUCGAUGAGUAGGGCGGGACACGUGGUAUCCUGUCUGAAUAUGGGGGGACCAUCCUCCAAGGCUAAAUACUCCUGACUGACCGAUAGUGAACCAGUACCGUGAGGGAAAGGCGAAAAGAACCCCGGCGAGGGGAGUGAAAAAGAACCUGAAACCGUGUACGUACAAGCAGUGGGAGCACCCUUUGGGGUGUGACUGCGUACCUUUUGUAUAAUGGGUCAGCGACUUAUAUUCUGUAGCAAGGUUAACCGAAUAGGGGAGCCGGAGGGAAACCGAGUCUUAAUUGGGCGUUAAGUUGCAGGGUAUAGACCCGAAACCCGGUGAUCUAGCCAUGGGCAGGUUGAAGGUUGGGUAACACUAACUGGAGGACCGAACCGACUAAUGUUGAAAAAUUAGCGGAUGAUCUGUGGCU
rnacentral:rRNA from 1 species